UGGUGUUAAUAAAAUGUGGGUGUUAGUAUGGUGGUGACACACGCAAACUAAUAACGGUAGAUCGAUCUCUUUCAUCAAUAUUGUUAUGCAAAGAAAUGCAUAACUUUGGACCUAUAUGGGUAGUGAUGUGAGUUAUGUUAAAGAAGAUGUAAGUGAUGGUAUCUGGUGUGCCAGUAGUGGUGUACAGUUGGUGGUAUGGGGUGUAUAGGUGGUGUGUAAGUGGUGAAUAGGUGGUGGUAUGUGGUGUAUAGGUGGUGGUAUGUGGUGUUAAUGGAAAUGUGAGUGAUAGUAUGGUGGUGAUAUAUGCAAACUAAAAACGGUAGAUCAAUCUGUCAUGCUAAGAAAUGCAAAACUAUAUAGGUAGUGUUGUGAGUAAUGUUAAAGAAGAUGUAAGUGAUGGCAUCUGGUGUGGCAGUAGUGGUGUACAGGUGGUGGUAUGGGGUGUAUAGGUGGUGUUUGAGUGGUGUAUGGGUGGUGAUAUGUGGUGUUAAUGGAAAUGUGAGUGGUAGUAUGGUGGUGUUAAUGGAAAUGUACGUGGUAGUAUGAUGGUAAUACAUGCAAACUAACAACGGUAUAUCUAUCUCUUUCGUUGAUAUUGAUAUGUAAAACUAUCAAUUCUCAGACCUGUAUAGGUAGUGAUGUGAGUAAUGUUAAAGAAGAUGUAAGUGAUGACAUCUGAUGUGUCAGUAGUGGUGUACAAGUGGUGGUAAGUGGUGGUAUGUGGUGUAUGAGUGGUGUUAAUGGAAAUGUGAGUGGUAGUAUGGUGGUAUUAAUGGAAAUGUGCGUGGUAGUAUGAUGGUGAUACAAUGUACAUGCAAACUAAUAACGGUAGAUCUACCUCUUUCGUUGAUAUUGAUAUGUAAAACUAUCAAUUCUCUGACCUGUAUAGGUAGUGGUGUGAUUGGUGUAAAAACAAAAACAAAAACAAAAAACCGGUGUUAAAACACAUGUGUUAGCAUCCGAUGUGCCAUUAGCUGUGUGUAAAUGGUGUUUAUGGAAAUGUGAAUGGUGGUACGUGGUGUAUAAAUGGUGGUAUGUGGUGUUAAUGAAAAUAAGGGUUGUGGUAUGUGGUGUUAACGAACGUGUAGGUAGAGUGUGUGCGAUGUUAACGAAAGUAUGAAUGGUAGUAGUUGGCUGGUUAUUUCACAAUUUUCACCCUUAUUAUACACCACUUGUGGAUGAAGUACUAUGAUUAAUGGUUAUUACCCCCUAGUAGCGAGGGCUCUUUAGCGUGCAAACGCCUACCGCCAUAGGGCCUUCCGAAAGACCCGUAAAUGCAGUGCAUUUGGAGGGCCAAUCACUACCAAUGUUUACGUCUUAGGUUGGCGAUGGCAUGAGGAGGAUUCGAAUUCAUGAGCUUCCUGUUAGGAAGCAAACGCUCUACCAUUGAGCAAUGCGACCGGUAAUUGCGUGGUGGUGGUGGAAGUAUAUAAAGAACCUAAAAGCCAGGAAUUAUUCGUUUACUUGCAUGACAAUCUGAGCAGUGUUUAUAUACUUCCACCUGAAGUGUGUCACAGUCUGUAUAAUGGAAUGAUAACGUGUUGUAAAGUUCUAACGAGAUACAAAUGGAGUUUAUCAUUUUGGUUCGUGGAUUUAUCAGAAUAAAGAGAAUCUUAUAUUUUCGGAAGCAAUCAACAGUUGUGAUCGAGAAGAGAGAAGGAGAAAAUUUCAAGUGUGAGAUUGUAUUUGAUGAGACUGAUAUGACAAUGGUACCAGAGCCAACUGUCAAACAGCACUCCAGCCAGCAACAUUUUCCUCUUGUAUUUUUUGACUUGGAAUCAACAGGAUUAACUAGAGAUUCUCAUAUUACACAGCUGUCGUGUGUGGUGAAGAAAAAUGUUCCACCUAUACCUUUCCAAAAAUACCUAUCACAGUAAAAGCCUCAGAAAUCACAGGAAUCGAAAUUGUCAAUGGAAAUAUGUUUAACAAAAAUAUAGAAGUCAAGCCUUUCAGCAGGAAUGGAUGCUCUGCUUAAUUUUGUUUCAAAAUUUUAAACUAAAGUAAUUCUGCAUUUACAAUGGCAGUGUAUGAAUGUCAACAAUAUACAGAAUGUUUAUUGUAUACUAUACCCAAUUUAACAUUUUCUGUUUAUG